rnacentral:rRNA from 1 species
GAGCGGACAGAUGGGAGCUUGCUCCCUGAUGUUAGCGGCGGACGGGUGAGUAACACGUGGGUAACCUGCCUGUAAGACUGGGAUAACUCCGGGAAACCGGGGCUAAUACCGGAUGCUUGUUUGAACCGCAUGGUUCAAACAUAAAAGGUGGCUUCGGCUACCACUUACAGAUGGACCCGCGGCGCAUUAGCUAGUUGGUGAGGUAAUGGCUCACCAAGGCAACGAUGCGUAGCCGACCUGAGAGGGUGAUCGGCCACACUGGGACUGAGACACGGCCCAGACUCCUACGGGAGGCAGCAGUAGGGAAUCUUCCGCAAUGGACGAAAGUCUGACGGAGCAACGCCGCGUGAGUGAUGAAGGUUUUCGGAUCGUAAAGCUCUGUUGUUAGGGAAGAACAAGUACCGUUCGAAUAGGGCGGUACCUUGACGGUACCUAACCAGAAAGCCACGGCUAACUACGUGCCAGCAGCCGCGGUAAUACGUAGGUGGCAAGCGUUGUCCGGAAUUAUUGGGCGUAAAGGGCUCGCAGGCGGUUUCUUAAGUCUGAUGUGAAAGCCCCCGGCUCAACCGGGGAGGGUCAUUGGAAACUGGGGAACUUGAGUGCAGAAGAGGAGAGUGGAAUUCCACGUGUAGCGGUGAAAUGCGUAGAGAUGUGGAGGAACACCAGUGGCGAAGGCGACUCUCUGGUCUGUAACUGACGCUGAGGAGCGAAAGCGUGGGGAGCGAACAGGAUUAGAUACCCUGGUAGUCCACGCCGUAAACGAUGAGUGCUAAGUGUUAGGGGGUUUCCGCCCCUUAGUGCUGCAGCUAACGCAUUAAGCACUCCGCCUGGGGAGUACGGUCGCAAGACUGAAACUCAAAGGAAUUGACGGGGGCCCGCACAAGCGGUGGAGCAUGUGGUUUAAUUCGAAGCAACGCGAAGAACCUUACCAGGUCUUGACAUCCUCUGACAAUCCUAGAGAUAGGACUUCCCCUUCGGGGGCAGAGUGACAGGUGGUGCAUGGUUGUCGUCAGCUCGUGUCGUGAGAUGUUGGGUUAAGUCCCGCAACGAGCGCAACCCUUGAUCUUAGUUGCCAGCAUUCAGUUGGGCACUCUAAGGUGACUGCCGGUGACAAACCGGAGGAAGGUGGGGAUGACGUCAAAUCAUCAUGCCCCUUAUGACCUGGGCUACACACGUGCUACAAUGGACAGAACAAAGGGCAGCGAAACCGCGAGGUUAAGCCAAUCCCACAAAUCUGUUCUCAGUUCGGAUCGCAGUCUGCAACUCGACUGCGU